CCCACCUGCAGGGUACCCAGGCCCCUCUGGGCGAGUCCUGAUCCGACCUCCCAGGGGGGCUGAGGACCGGCUCAGACACCCCGUGUGAUGAGGCCUCGCCUGACCCCCACCACCCACAGUGGACCCCGCCUGCCCUGCUCGUGCCCCACCAGGCGCGGCCUCCUCGUCACCGUGGCUUCCAGAGCUGCCCAGCGGCUCUCCGAGCAGGUCUUUGGAGGCAUCAGAUGAUACCUGGGGAACCGGCCCCAGUGCCUGUCACCGAGGAGCACGUGACCCAGGCCCAGCCACCGAGUCCUGCUGUGAGAAAGGGGAGUCCUCUGUCAUCUGGUCCCGCUGAUGUUGUCUGCAGCCCAGACCAUAAACCAAAGACUGUGGAAAUUCAAAUGAACGAAUCGACUCCCAGGAGACAGCUGGAAGAAGUAAGGAUCUGUUGGUUCACUUGGAGUGGCCCUCCGCCCUGCGGAAGGAGUGCCAGGGCACUUAGCCCAGGCCAGGUGAGCUUCGGCGACAGCACAUGGGAGCUGGGCAUUCACAAGGGGCGUUUCCAUUCUACCGGGUGAGCACGUGGUGGCCACACUGCCCCACCUGGAGGGCUCAGCCUCCACCAUCGGUGUGACGGCCUCCCCAUAAACAGUCCCUUCCAGGUCCUGGAGAGCCUUGUGGCUUGAUUUCAUCUCCCCUCUGACACAGCAGCACUGAAUUAAGAAUUUCUGCUGAAGGGAAACUGUCCACUGUAGGGGCCAGAGUAUGUACUUAUUGGACAGCCUUCCCGGAUCCAUCUUGGCAGCGCUCUUUGUUACCAGACUCAGGUUCGGCUGCUCGUUGCUCAAGAAUCCAACACUGAGAGGCAAGUGCUGGGUAGAAGGAAAGACAGCUUGAUUGAGGAAGCCGGCAAUCCUGGGGAGAAAGUGGACUCAUGUCCCAAAGAACCAGCUCCCCCCUCCCCAGGU